AAUAGAUACCCUGGUAGUCCACGCCGUAAACGAUGAGUGCUAGGUGUUAGGGGGGUCCAACCCUUAGUGCCGAAGUUAACACAUUAAGCACUCCGCCUGGGGAGUACGGUCGCAAGACUGAAACUCAAAAGGAAUUGACGGGGGGCCCGCACAAGCGGUGGAGCAUGUGGUUUAAUUCGAAGCAACGCGAAGAACCUUACCAGGGCUUGACAUCCCUCUGACCGUUCUAGAGAUAGAGCUUCCCUUCGGGGGCAGAGGUGACAGGUGGUGCAUGGUUGUCGUCAGCUCGUGUCGUGAGAUGUUGGGUUAAGUCCCGCAACGAGCGCAACCCUUGUCCUUAGUUGCCAGCAUUCAGUUGGGCACUCUAGGGAGACUGCCGGUGACAAACCGGGAGGAAGGUGGGGAUGACGUCAAAGUCAUCAUGCCCCUUAUGUCCUGGGCUACACACGGUGCUACAAUGGCUGGUACAAAGGGGUAGCGAAGCAGUGAUGUGGAGCCAAUCCCAAAAAGCCAGUCUACAGUUCGGAUUGUAGGCUGC
rnacentral:rRNA from 1 species